rnacentral:rRNA from 1 species
UACGGAGGGUGCAAGCGUUAAUCGGAAUUACUGGGCGUAAAGGGUGCGUAGGUGGUUGUAUAAGUUAGCUGUGAAAUUCCUGGGCUUAACCUGGGGUGGUCAGCUAAGACUGUAUGACUUUGAGUCUAGGAGAGGGUAGUGGAAUUUCCGGUGUAGCGGUGAAAUGCGUAGAGAUCGGAAGGAACACCAGUGGCGAAGGCGGCUACCUGGCCUAAGACUGACACUGAGGCACGAAAGCGUGGGGAGCAAACAGG